rnacentral:misc_RNA from 1 species
ACACCUCAACUCUCAUGGCUUGCCGUGAUGAGCUUGGACUUUGGGGGUCUUGCCGGCCUGUGGUCGGCUCCUCUCAAAUGAAUCAGCUUGCCAGCGUUUGGUGGCAUCACAGGUGUGAUAACUAUCUACGCUUGUGGUUUUCCACCAGGUAACCUUCGGUGAUGGAGGUUCACUGGAGCUCAUAGAUGUCUCUCCUCAGUGAGGACAGCCCUUUGAAU